AAAAAAUAAGAACUGGAAAUACAACAUAUACUAAUCUCGGCCCGAAUGGCCCAAAGUAAAAACAUCUGAACCGACAAAAUUGUGUGGUCGAUGACCACUCACUUUAAAAAACAGAAAAGGCAAGAACAAAAUUGUCUGUCUCGAUGUUUCGUUACGGAAGACAAUUUCCAUGGCGAAACUUUUAAUCGAAGUUAGAGAACUCAUGAUAUGAACGGCCGCGGCUUACUUGUUGUGGUAAAGAUGGAAACGACUGCUUGUAGAGGUGAAAAUCGAUGGUAGCAAAUCAAAUAACUACCGAUUUUCUAAGAUUAGCUGAAAAACGUCCUAACGAUCCAAACUCGGUAGAUCCACGGAGGACUUCACCUUUUACGAUUUAUUUAGGCAUCCGUGAGAAAAACGAUGAGUUUGAGAUGGUUGACGAAGUUCACCUUUUCAACUCUCUUUGACCAAGUCCUAAGAAGAAUUGAAAGACCACAAAAAGCUAUUCUAUUACUCAAACUUGAGGUGGUCUGGGAAGCCAGACCGGAAUAGAACAACCAAUAAAACAUAAGGAUCUAUGAAACGAACGUGCAUUCCUAGCUAACGAAUCUGCAAUCUCAUUCUGCGUCUUUGGAAAGUAACUGAUCUUGAAGUCCCAAAAACAUAACCGAAGAGUUUGAAUGAUUUCCAGUUCAGUUGAGAAGUUGGGCCAAUCUUGCGGCUGUUCUAUCAUUGCAAUCAGGUCCUUGCAGUCCGUCCCAAACCUCUGACAGGUCGAGUGUUGUAUCAUACUCUCCAUUGCCCACUUUAGCGCUUCCAGUUCCGAGUGCAGCGGUGUCUCUCUUCUCCGCAAGUUCCUUGACCCCAUGAGCUGUAUCUUCUCCAUUGAAUAAUAUACUUUUGAAGAAAAUAUUCAUAUUCCAACUACAAAGAUUAUGGAUUUCAUUCUUCUAUGGAGAACAAUAUGUUUUAAAAAUAAAAGAUAAGUUAUUUCCAGAUACUUUGUCUUCUAGAUACUGUCUUCUUUUACAUUAAUAUAAAUCCUAAUUUCCAUAUAAAUAUCGCAUGAUUAGUUUAUUAAUGUGUUUGAAUUUUACAUUUGACAGCUACGAUAAAUUUGAUUUAAGACAAAUACACGUAGGAAGUGAACAUUUACCAUCACCAAAAGGGAGAUCAUGGUGAUACCAAAAGUUAAGUCACUAUAAAAUGAAACAGCAGCAGAAGAGUUCCUGCCUCUUGUUUCGCUGCAGCAUCUGUUGUCUCUUUCACCUGUUUACAUUGGUCCUGCUGUGAGGAACGGACCCUCAUAAACAGGUAGACUGCUAAUCUCAUAUCUCAUAUUUUAUAGAUGAGCAAAUAUCAAAUUUAGACAAUUUUUGUUUCUAAUACCAAAUUUUACAUCUAUUCUAUUAAAACUCCUGUAUGACCAAUUGAUAUUAACUGGGUCCAACUUAAAUUUUUUACGUUUUUGUAUAACUGCAUCAAUUUAUAAUAAAGCUAUGUAACCAGUAACCACCCUUCAUUUAUAUCACGUAUUCUCCCUUAAUAAUCGGCUGCGCCUUUCUUUUGCUUAAUAAUCAGUUGGGCCUUUAUUUUUUAAACGAAAUUUAAAUGUAACCACUACACAAUGAGAAUUGUAACCACCACAUCAUAUCACCUAAAAUUUGGGAGCCAACAUUUAGAAUAAAGUUAUUGUUUAAUUAAAAAAUCUAUUCUAUUAAAACACAAGUAUGACCAAUUGAUAUAUGUUGAGUCUAAUAAUUGUUUUUCUAUGUUAUCAAA